rnacentral:sRNA from 1 species
AAAUAAAAAACGGGUAAUUUCCAGGCUCGAAUAUAAGAACCGGGUGGUAACCAUGAAUACACAGCGAAUGAAAUAUUGGUCAUGGAUGGGCGCUUUUAGCGUUUCCAUGGCGUUCUGGCUUCAAAUAAUCUGGCUGCUUUGCCGCUAAGCAACGCCGGCUUUCCUGUUAAUAUCGCGUU